CUCCUGUAUGUAAAUUGUUAAAGGCCCACUCACCAAGACAUUAUCAGUGACAUUAACUUUCAAGCUCGCAUUGGUUGCAAAACCAUCUCACAGGAGCAAACAACAAUGUCUCAAUAGACUACAUAAUUCUUAGUGGGGUGCAUGAGUGUCCAUGCAAAAAGAGGGUGAGACUGCAUCAAGGUGG